rnacentral:tRNA from 1 species
GGGGGUAUAGUUCAGCAGUAGAGUACUUCCCUAGCACAUUAGGAGGCCCUGGGUUCUAUCCCUAGUACCGCCA